GUUCUCACUUGAAAAUUGUCUUUUCUCUUUCAGGUACCCUGGUUAAAAGAUGGAAAAGGAACCACUCUAUGGGCUUCCUCCUCAGAAAGACUUUCCUCACCACUCAAUUAAAAAUAUCUCCCAUUACUCUUAUGUCUCCAA
rnacentral:lncRNA from 1 species